AAUAUGUGUAUAAAUCCUAAAUAUUAGCCAGGCAUCGGUUACAGUUUGAAUUUGAAAUUCGUGUGAAAAUGAACGUAUUACCGUUGGUUUUGUUGGUGUGUGCUAUUUUGCUGCAGUUGCAGCAACAAACUCAAGCAGGCGUUUCCUCGCUUGAUCCCAAAAAAUGUCAUGAAGAGAGAGAUCGUUUGCGAGAAAAUUUACAACAACUCAACGAUCAUGUGAACGAAGAUAAGGUCGAUAGAACUUUCGACAUAUUGAACAAGACUACAGAUGAGGUACGGAAACUGCAUGAAUUGAAACUACAAACCGUAGAAGAUAGGUGUAAACUACUCGGAUCACUUGAAACAAUUACGCAGCGACUCGCUCAUCUUGAGACCAAACUAAAUGAAACCAAUGAGUAUUUGUUUCAAAGAGCUAUCACUAUGUUUUCCAAGUAUACACCUUUUGGGGGAGUGAGGAACGGAGAACCGCCAUUAUUCCAGCGAACGAAUCGGACAUUAUUAUCGAAAUAGCUUUAAUCGGUGGAACAAUAGAGUGCUUUCUUAAGGCAUAAUUUCCAAGGCGAAAGAUUGCAGUCUUGUGCAUUGGAAAUAGUGCCUUUAGAGGAAAAUAUCAAAGAAAUAAUCAAACCAAAUAAACGUAUUCGUAAACUCAAUUUAUUCAACGCAAUUUUGUGUUCUAUUUAUUUGAAUUUUCCAUUUUGAUUGGAAAACAAUUACAAGAUUUGGUGAAAUUA